rnacentral:rRNA from 1 species
AAUCAACGCUGGCGGCGUGCCUCAGACAUGCAAGUCGAACGAUUAAAGCUCUCUUCGGAGAGUGUAUAAAGUGGCGCACGGGUGAGUAACACGUAAGUAAUCUACCUUUGAGUGGGGAAUAACCCGGGGAAACCCGAGCUAAUACCGCAUAAUGCAGCGGCACCGCAAGGUGACAGUUGUUAAAGCGAGUAAUCGCGCUUAAAGAGGAGCUUGCGGCAGAUUAGCUAGUUGGCAAGGUAACGGCUUACCAAGGCUACGAUCUGUAUCCGGUCUAAGAGGACGGUCGGACACACUGACACUGAAUAACGGGUCAGACUCCUACGGGAGGCAGCAGUCGGGAAUUUUGGGUCAAUGGGCGAAAGCCUGACCCAGCAACGCCGCGUGAAGGAUGAAGUAUUUCGGUAUGUAAACUUCGAAAGAAUAGGAAGAAU